rnacentral:rRNA from 1 species
GCAGUCGAGCGAGCUUGCCUAGAUGAUUUUAGUGCUUGCACUAAAUGAAACUAGAUACAAGCGAGCGGCGGACGGGUGAGUAACACGUGGGUAACCUGCCCAAGAGACUGGGAUAACACCUGGAAACAGAUGCUAAUACCGGAUAACAACACUAGACGCAUGUCUAGAGUUUGAAAGAUGGUUCUGCUAUCACUCUUGGAUGGACCUGCGGUGCAUUAGCUAGUUGGUAAGGUAACGGCUUACCAAGGCAAUGAUGCAUAGCCGAGUUGAGAGACUGAUCGGCCACAUUGGGACUGAGACACGGCCCAAACUCCUACGGGAGGCAGCAGUAGGGAAUCUUCCACAAUGGACGAAAGUCUGAUGGAGCAACGCCGCGUGAGUGAAGAAGGGUUUCGGCUCGUAAAGCUCUGUUGGUAGUGAAGAAAGAUAGAGGUAGUAACUGGCCUUUAUUUGACGGUAAUUACUUAGAAAGUCACGGCUAACUACGUGCCAGCAGCCGCGGUAAUACGUAGGUGGCAAGCGUUGUCCGGAUUUAUUGGGCGUAAAGCGAGUGCAGGCGGUUCAAUAAGUCUGAUGUGAAAGCCUUCGGCUCAACCGGAGAAUUGCAUCAGAAACUGUUGAACUUGAGUGCAGAAGAGGAGAGUGGAACUCCAUGUGUAGCGG